rnacentral:tRNA from 1 species
GGAGGUAUAGCUCAGCGGCAGAGCACAUGCUUAGCAUGCACAAGGUCCUGGGUUCAGUCCACAAUACCCCCA